CCCGCCUAGGACGAUUUUUCAAACAUUGCGAUUGACUGAAAGUUUGAAACCUGAAAUUGAAAAAAUUUAGCUGCAAAUUUGAGCUUGAGAUUGGGAAGCUGAAGCAGUGAAGCAUAAGUCAGGUCCAUAGAAGAGCAAAUAUGUUGGUGCAUGCAUUCUAUGGUGUUAUCUUGAACUUUCUAUCUUUCACAUUCUCAUCUCUUAACUAUUAAGAUUUGGUGAACAACUUUGGACAGAUUUGUCUGAAGGCAGAUGAAAGAGAUGUAUACGAGUUCUUCUCAAGGGCUGGCAAGGUCCGCGAUGUACGCCUCAUUAUGGAUCGCAAUUCAAGAGGUUCUAAGGGAGUUGGGUAUAUUGAGUUUUAUGAUGCAAUGUCGGUACCAAUGGCGAUACCCCUUUCUGGUCAGCCUCUUCUUGGUCAACCAGUGAUGGUGAAGCCAUCAGAGGCUGAGAAGAAUCUGGUUCAAUCAACAUCUGUGGUUAGCGGACCAGGUGGGAUGAUAGGCCCAUAUUCUGGCGGAGCUAGAAAGCUGUAUGUUGGAAAUCUCCAUACCAAUAUAAAAGAAGAUGAUCUCUGCUAGGUUUUUGGAGCAUUUGGUCCUGUAGAACUGGUUCAGUUACGUGUUUUGACGAAACUAACAACUGCAAAGGUUUUGGAUUUGUGCAGUUCUCACGUCUUGAAGAUGCUAGAAAUGCACUGAGUUUGAAUGGAAAAUUGGAGAUUGCAGGUCGACUAAUUAAGGUGUCAGCUGUUACAGACCAAGCUGGAAUGCAAGAUCUUGGAGCAAAUGCUGGUGAUUUUGAUGACGAUGAAGGUGGUGGCUUGAGGGAAUGUAUAAACAGACAUGGAGAUUACCACUGAUUCUUCUGUUUCUAGUUUAUGAGAUGUGGUGGCUGCAAGCACAUGCUUCUCAAGUGCUGUUGUUCACUCCUUCAAAGAGAAGACAGAUGGAAUAUAGGCAGCCAACUGAUCUUGCUGCCCUGAUAAACGAAAAUCAGGGAAAGGAAAAAAAAAGAAAAAAAAAAGGCCAGUAUAGCCUACCUUUUAAACAUAGAGUACAGCCAAACGGCUAUACGAUUUAAAUAAAAAGGCUAUACUUUUUAUUACAAAUAAAAAGGCCAAAAAUGGCUAUACGAGGUUUACAUUUCCCUUCCCUCGCUGCCUGGCUCGCUUCACUGAAUCACUUCCCAUCAAAGUCUUCAAGUUCAAGGCCAAAAAAGAGGUGGCCAAUUCCUCAUUUGAGCUCUCAUGGCGUCUCCCAAAAAAUCAAAGAAAAGCAAGAAAGAUAGGAAAUUGAAGAAAAACUUAAGCUUGGUUCCAGUCGAGCCCAAAGCCGCAAACUCUGAGUGGUGGGAUAGUUCUUCAACCCAAGGCACACAGGUUGGAGAGGAGUUGAUGAAGGCAUCGCUGUAGUUGGGACUAGCAUGAUUUAAAAGCUACAAUGGCUGGUUGCAUGUCAACCCCAUCCAAAACAAUUAAAUCACAGAAAAAACAGUCAGCGGGUCAUCAAAAACGCCAUAGAAAGGCAACCUGCUCCGCUUCAGAUGAUACCAAGAAAAGAAAUACAAGUUUGAAGAAAAUAAAUAGUGAUGCAGGAGCUCGCGUGAGUGACUAUGUUGUCAGUGAGUUUGUUCAUGUGGACUUUGAGAAUGGUGCAACAACUACUCACAGAAGUUCUAAGGUUUCUAAUUGAACAUUCCAUCUCACCUAGCUGCAAUGGCACCACAGUCAAUAUGAUUCGAAUGUAAUUUGCCAAGAGGGAGCUUGGUUGGACUCGGUGAGUAUUCUGGAGUCUGACUCAGAUGAUGACUUUAUCCGUAUACAUGGAGCAAGCAAUCCAGUUGAGAGUAUCUCAAGUGGCCAAGUACUUCAGUACGAAAGAUCUGCUCGCUUUGGUGAUAAUGGGUGUAAGUAUGAAGAAUACCAAAGCUAUAUGAAAAUAGAUGGAGGUAAAUCGGAUAAAAUCACAGGCAAAGAUGAGCGCAGGGAAUCAAAUUGGUUUUCGCUUAUUAGUACCCAGGGCUAUGAGCUUUCUUGCUUAGGGAAGGCUGAUGAAGUUUGCAGUAAGAGGAAGAAUAUAUUAGAUCACUCUUAUGGAAGCUUUAAAGGACUUAUAGAGGAUGGACGUGAUUCUAAUGAAAAAAUUCAAGACAAUGCCUGAAAUCCAGCUUAUCUCGAUUGGUACCUUCUGUAAGUUUCAACAAUAAGAUUCUAAGUGCACAGAGUUUGGUUCUGCAGUCCCAGAGAAAGCCAUCAGCCGUUUUCAGACUUUCUUUUAAAAGGAGAUCCUGUGAUGCAGAAGAAACCAUUGAACAAUGUCAAUCAAAAAGGUUUCUGUAUCAGCCUAGACCAGGAUAUAUCAUUCCAUGUUGUAAAGUAGAGAAGCCGAC